GACGAACGCUGGCGGCGUGCUUAACACAUGCAAGUCGAACGGUAAGGCCCUUCGGGGUACACGAGUGGCGAACGGGUGAGUAACACGUGGGUGAUCUGCCCUGCACUUCGGGAUAAGCCUGGGAAACUGGGUCUAAUACCGGAUAGGACUCCGGACUGCAUGGUCUGGGGUGGAAAGCUUUUGCGGUGUGGGAUGGGCCCGCGGCCUAUCAGCUUGUUGGUGGGGUGAUGGCCUACCAAGGCGACGACGGGUAGCCGGCCUGAGAGGGUGACCGGCCACACUGGGAGUGAGAUCCGGCCCAGACUGCUACGGGAGGCAGCAGUGGGGAAGAUUGCACAAUGGGCGCAAGCCUGAUGCAGCGACGCCGCGUGAGGGAUGACGGCCUUCGGGUUGUAAACCUCUUUCAGCAUCGACGAAGCGAAAGUGACGGUAGGUGCAGAAGAAGGACCGGCCAACUACGUGCCAGCCGCCGCCGUAA
rnacentral:rRNA from 1 species